rnacentral:rRNA from 1 species
CCUACGGGGGGCUGCAGUGGGGAAUAUUGCACAAUGGGGGAAACCCUGAUGCAGCGACGCCGCGUGAGUGAAGAAGUAUCUCGGUAUGUUAAGCUCCAUCUGUAGGGAAGCAAAUGACGGUACCUGAUCCAGAAGCCCCGGCUACCUACGUGCCAGCCGCCGCGGUUACACGUAGGGGGCAAGCGUUAUCCGGAUUUACUGGGUGUUAAGGGGGCGUAGACGGCAGCACAAGUCUGGAGUGAAAUGCCGGGGCUUAACCCCGUGACGGCUUUUGAAACUGUGCAGCUAGAGUGCAGGAGAGGUAAGUGGAAUGCGUGGUGUAGCGGUGAAAUGCGUAGAUAUUAGGAGGAACACCAGUGGCGAAGGCGGCUUACUGCAGCGGAACUGACGCUGAUGCUCGAAAGCGCGGGUAUCGAACAGGAUUAGAUACCCGAGUAGUC